rnacentral:rRNA from 1 species
AGAUUCAUCGUCAGCGGUACUGGUACGUGUGCGGUUCGCGAUGUCCGAGACCUCGGUCUCGUGGCACGCGUCCGCAUGUUUUUAUUGCCUGGUAUCGUCGGCGUGCACUUCUCCCCUAGUAGGACGUCGCGACCCGUUGGGUGUCGGUCUACGGCCCGGGUGGGCGCCUGUCCCGUGUGCGCUUUAUCGCGUCACUGCGGGAGAGACCCCCGGUAUUGCCUGACCGGCUGCUCGGCGGUACUCGCAAGGUAUCUGGCCGCAAAAUAUUCGAACUGCGUCCGGCCCGUCGCAAGCGAGGCGAGUGUUCCCGAAUGUACGGAUCUAAUGCCGUCAUCGGGCCUAGCCAGCUGUUGGUUGACGGUGUCCUCGGACUGGCUAUAAAAUUAUGAUACCGGUCAGCGACGCUACUGCUUUGGGUACUUUCAGGACCCGUCUUGAAACACGGACCAAGGAGUCUAACAUGUGCGCGAGUCAUUGGGAACUAUUAAGCCUAAAGGCGCAAUGAAAGUGAAGGUCGGCCUUGCGCCGACCGAGGGAGGAUGGGCCGCGUCACGAUGCGGUCCCGCACUCCCGGGGCGUCUCGUUCUCAUUGCGAGAAGAGGCGCACCCAGAGCGUAC